rnacentral:misc_RNA from 1 species
AUUUAUUCCACCUUCCCAUCUCGUUAAUGGAAUCUAUAUAGGAUUGAGUAUCUGAGACCCAUUACAAGGUUUCAAGAGGAGGAACAAGAAAGCUGAAACAAGAUCACAAAAUAUGCUUUUGAGAAGCACUUCUACACCCAUCUUGAAAACCUACGCUAAUGCUGCUGCUGCUGCACAUGGUUGUCAAUUAUCAGCUCAGGAAGCUGAUCUCGGUCCCAAGUUUUCGCCGUCGAGGACUGUCUCCUUAAGCCUUAAACGGACAUCAUCAGAAGGCGAGCUUAGGCUCUUCUCCAUAGCCAAGGAAAGCAUAUUAUCGAAAAGUCCUAGGUCAGCUGUUGUCGUUAAUGAUAAGGAAGGGAUGAGCGUGCGCAUGGAAACUGCGUCUCUUCUUUCUGACAGGUCGUCGGUGGCUCUCGCUGAUGUAAAGGAGGUGGAGGAAGAGGAGGAGGUGGAGGAAAUGGAAAUGGUCUCCGUGGGUGGUGGACUUGGAGGUGGUGUUGGCAAUAGUGGUGGACGUCGCGGCAGCGGUGGCGGCAGAGGUGAUGGGUCGUCCUGGGAUUCAGAACACAUGGAUAAAUAUUAUCAAAGCAUGAUAAGGACGUAUCCUGCAGAUGGUCUUCUUCUUGCAAACUAUGCCAAAUUCUUGAAAGAGGUACGAGGUGACACUCUGAAAGCUGAGGAACUCUGUGAAAGGGCAAUGGUAGCAAAUGCAAGAGAUGGAAAUGUUCUGUCUAUGUAUGGAGAUCUCAUUUGGAAUAACCAUAAGGAUGGUGCUCGUGCUCAGAGUUACUUUGAUCAAGCUAUUCAAUCCUCUCCUAAUAACUGUUAUGUUCUUGCAUCUUAUGCUCGAUUCCUGUGGGAU